GCAUAUCCCUCAUAACCACAUCCCGUUCUCCAGUUGUUUUUCACCAAAUAGAACUCAACGCCCUCCUUUUCAUUGCACCAGAAGCUCACCGAACAGAUGAAAAAAGAGAAAUUACCAAAGGCAGAAGCUCACCUUUCUCCUGAGGAUGAAGGAGACAGGAGCAAUUUCACCUUUCGCCUGAUGAUUAAGGAGACAAGAGCA
rnacentral:lncRNA from 1 species